rnacentral:lncRNA from 7 species
GAGCAGAUCCGUCCAUACCUCACUUACCUACCAGGUUGCCAAAUUUCUAGGAUGAGUUGAACUCUAUGUUGAGGCCUUAGAGAGUUCUAUGCUUCUUCAUGGAUUUAGCUUGACCACGAGUACUUUCAGUUCACCUUUAGAGGCAGGCCUCAUGGACACUAUGCUAGUGCAAUUAGAUAGCAUAUUGGCUUCAUGGCGUACACUACCAUACUACACAACUUGUGCUACAGUACUAUGGACACACUCAAAUGCCCUCACUAUGGAGAGUUUCUAGGUAUAGGAUACAUUGCAAUUUGUUUCUACCCACCAUUUGGCGAUGGCCCUAGACGAACCUCUAGUAAGUUGACACUAAUGAGCCAUGUCCUAAAUGUUGUGAUAAGGAGGACCUUGUUGCCCUACUAUAGAUAUAAGGAGGGCCUA